UCCAGUCCUGCCAUGCACUAUGCACAACCAGUCCCCUCCCGCACGAAUCCGACCAGAUAGAGAGGAAUAUGGGAGGGAGAGAGGGAGGAGGAGGAAGAUGGGAGGAGGGAGAAAGAGUGAGGGGAGAGGAGAGGGAGGUCUGGCGGCGGACGGGAAAGGGUGACCGGCCGGCGUCUGCCUAUGCCCCUCCUCCCGCAAGAACCCUAGGGGGAGAGAAGAUGAGGGAGAGAGAGAAAAGGAAGGAGAGGAGGGAGAAAGAGAGAGGAAAAAGGAGAGGGAGGUGCGACGACUGAUAGGAGAGAGUAUCACCAGCCAGCAUCGGCCUGCACCGGCGAGGAUGGGCGCGACCUAGAGGUUGGCGGCGGCUCGAUCUGCUCUUGGAUCGGGAACUGCGACGAGGCUGGGUCUCGGGCGCGAUUCACAGGAGGCUGUACUCCGCCUUUUCCUCGUGGUGCGGCGGACGGCGGUGCGCUCUGGACAAAUUAGGCCUAAGCCAAUGGGGGAGAAGAUGGAGUACAGGGAUGAGCAGUUGGAUCACACGUUCAUUUGAUGUCUGUGCACAAGAUGGAGAAGUUCGCUAGAAGGAAGAAGAGUUGGGCGGUGAGGAGGAGAAGAAGGUGGUCUGCGACGUGCUUGCACGCGCAGUAGCAGGAUUCCACCCAUGAGGUGCUCCUCUCGAUGCUCCCUUCCGGUGCUAGGCUUACGUUUUCAACACCGCCCUCACUGCCCCCUUCUUCCAUUGGCUCAUCGGCCGGUUAGAGGUCAGAGAUCUAAUACUCCGCACUGCCUCCCGUCAAUUUUUGGGAUACAUGCAAGGUUUAUCAUCACCCCAUGGAUCAUGUGUUGUUCAUUAACAACAUUAUCAAGGUGGAGGUCAAUGGUGUGAGACAGAGAAGUGGAGUGCUCAUAAAGAAACGCAGGUAUGUACGAAUAUGAUGGAUGCUUCCAUUGCCAACUGAUGAAUGCAUGUCUCCUUUUGCGCAGCUGCUUCCUGGAUUCGCCGUCGUGGCCGCCGCCUCUAGUCGCUUCCACCUGGACAUCCUUCGCCAACAAGGUAAUUUCGUUUCGGUCCCAACUGUCCUCCUAUCCUCUGCGCUUUGAUUGCUAUGAGUUCUUGUUGUGUGUGUGCUUGCUGGCUUAGUGAUGUGUGUGUCCGGGAACCCAUUGUGUUCUUUUUUAUGGCUUGCUGCUGCAUGCAUGAUUGUUGUGGCUGGCUUGGUGGUAGCAUCAUACAUACUAUUCUGGUUGGUUAGCUUGAAGCUCUUAAGCUAGGCUUUUAAUUCUCUGUGUCUAAAUAAUGUAUUGCUAUACCAGAUAAAAUAUACACAUGCAUUGCAAACAUGAUUCUGCUUAUACGCGGAAGUAUAUUUUUUAAAUCUAUCUCUUCAAUUCUUAGUACAAUUCUUUACUAGAAGUCUAGAACUAUGUAAUUUGGUAAUCGUGUCAAAGGUCACCUGGUUGUGCCAUAUUGCACUGUGAUUUGUGAAUGCUAUGUCGUUGGGGAAUCAGCGAGCUUGGUUAUAUUUCUAGGGCCAUCAUGUUAACUUGUGCUGGUAGCGCUCGCUUGCUAGCUAUGAGUUCUGGUUGUGUGUUUGCUUACUGCCUUAGUUAUGUGUAUGUGUGUCUGGGCACCUAUUGUGUUUUUUUGCUAGCUUCCUGCUGCAUGCAUGAUUGUUGUAAAUAGGUGCUGGCUGGUUGGUGCUGGGCUACUGAUGGCAUGAGACCCGCUUCAAAAAAAGGAAUGAAAGGAAGCAUUUGUUCAUAGAACAAAUAUAUUGUAAAAAUUUCCAUGGAAAGCCUGCAUAUUUAGCUCAGAAAAGGAGUCUAAAGAGGCUUAGAUUCUUGUUAGGUAUUGAUUUUGUAAAAUAUCUGCAGCUAUAUAUUGCUCAAACAAAGAAAGAUUUUACUCAACCUUCAAUAUAAUGUAUUUCUAAUUGUUCAUAACUACUUCAUGUUUUGUUGUGAUUUUGCAAGAUUAUGAAAUUAUUGUAUUUCAAAAUUGUUAUACUGAUUCCUCGAUGCGCUGUUCAUGGCUUCGUUCUUAUUUUAUCCUUCUUUAUUUGAGUUUUUUCCUUUCCUACAAGAAGAUGCUGAGUCAUGUAAUAUGUUCAAACAAGAGAGAAUCUACAUUUUAUGAAUGCUUUCUUCUUUUUUCAUUGUUACUUCAAGUUAGCGAAUUCAGUUAAGUUGUACUAAGAAGAUUCUCUCCAGCUACACAUAUUAUUCAGUCAUGGGGCCAUUAAGAUCUUUUGCCUUUUAGAAAAUGGGAGAUGCCAUUUAGACCUUACUCUGUUCAACUUGAUCUUGAACUUGCUACAACUGUUUCUAAGCAUUUUCCCAAGCAUUGUUUUAUUUGCAUCAGAGAAUGAGCUCACCUUACUCAGUGGAUGUGACAAGUAAAAAAUUAGAAACUGAGCAAUUAGUGCCACUCUUAAAUGUUGUAGAGCAGUCCAAAUUAUCCAAUAAAUCAUUUGUUAUCAGCGUCUAAUUAUAGAAGUUGAAUCAGUUGUUCCAAAUUACCCAGUACAAAUUGUGGAUGUUAAAAAUCUGUUUUUUGUUAGUCAAAUUGUUGAAAGCCAGAGCUGGGUCAAGUAGCCGGCCUUCGCCUAUGCCAUUGUCUGAGAGAAGCAACAUCGGCAUUGGGCAUUCCAUGUGCAGAGUGCGUGAAUGAUGGGGUAUGCCAUGGAAUGGUUGGGUUUUGAGUGGUAGGUGAUCCCUAUGCUAGCGGUGAUAGCAGCCAUCAUUGGUACAUUUCAGUAAUAUAUAAGUCCAUUUAAGGCCCUGUUUGUCUAGGCUUUGGCUUCUGCUUUUGCAGCUUUUCUAUUUUAGCCAUAAAGCCAUAAAAGCUCCUCAAUAGGUGCUUUUAGAGCUUUUAUGGCUUUUGGAGCUGAAUAUUGUUAUAUUGAUUCAUCAAAAGCCAGAAAUGCUCCAAAAACACCUAUUUAGGAGCUUUUAUGGCUUUUUGGCCAAAGUGGAAAAGCUGCAAAAGCAGAAGCAAAACCCCAAACAAACAGGGAUAUGUGUUUUGUUUUACUUCCUCCGUGGUGACUGUGAAUGUAUUCUCGGCUUUAUAGUCAGUAAAAAGAAGGCAUGCAAAACAUUAUGUUUUUCCUUGGUUGAAUGUCUCAUUUAAUUGUCGCUUAUUUAUUUCAAGUCACUGAAUUCACAUCGAACUUUCCUUGUGCUUUCCAUUAAUAAAUAAGAAAUUAAUAUGCAAUAUUUUUAAUAUGUGAGGAGGCGAGAGAAGAAGAAAAGAGGGGUUGUUAGGUCGGACCUUGGUAUGUCUCUGACCAGAGAUGGUUGGAUUCGUCCGAUGCUCUUCCAAACAGUGCAUUCUAGAUUCAAUGGGUAGUACAUGGAGCUUAUUUACUUUGCUGCUCUUAUGGCUUUAUCUGUACUUGACAUAUCAAGAGCUGAUGGUAGGUUCUACCUGAUCGAUUUUAGCUCCUCUUUCUUAGGUUCCGCUGACUCAUGUUCUUAUGUUAUCCUUAGUUUUCCCUUUCUAAUUUUGCAAGGGGGUGUACUCUGUCCCUCAAGGUAAGCGUGAAUGCAACGAACAUUGAUUGUGGCUGUUCCGAUAAGAAAUUGAGUGCAAAUUGAGUUUUAACAGUGAGACUUAUUCCAUUUGUUUAUCCUUUUGGCCUUUUAAUCAAGAACAAUGUUCAGAGCUUACAUGGUUGUCUAAAUUUAGUUCUGUAAAAGAGCAAUAUUGAUAUCAUGCAAUGAUCAGUGCCAAUUAGGAUAGUUAUAGAGUUCUUCCUCAGUUGCCAUUGAGCAAAUAUUGAAUUUGUAUGAUUUGUUCUAAUACCAAGUAAAUCUUGGUCUGCAUUGUGUUAGUUUUCGUACUGAGUUUUUUUUGGCUAUUUUCGCUUAAAUUAGGAGUUGAUGUGAAAAAGAGUGUGUGCUGACAUGCAUGCAACCAAAUCAUGUAUUAAUGUGAGGUACUACAUAUACUUGCGUAUCUCUCUUCAGAAGCACGACCCUCUUCAUCCAACUAGGAACAUCAAAACCAAAUGGGAUAUCUUUGACUGCACUUCAGAUGGCCAUGCUGUGAGUUCCCCAUUAUUAAAUAGUAUCUGAAUCUGCUUUGUAUAAUUAAGACACACUUUAUACAUAGAGCUGCUAUAAUUAAGACAUUCUUUAUACAUGAGUGCGACUAGCCUAUUUUCUAGCCUAUUUUCUCUAUUUAAAAGUAGAGUUGUGUUUAUCAUAAAAUUUAUAUACCAUGGACUUGUUGCUUUCUGUUUAUAUAAUAGGGCAGUUCGUCUUCUACCAUUUGUUUUCUUCAUUACAUGUCUCUUAGAUUGUUGGAGGGCCUUUAUGAAUAAGUUGAUUAACUACAUUUAUGGGUUAAUAUAUUUGCCUGAUGGGUUUCCCUAUUAUGGCUCAUGGUUAUAGAUGUAGUUUGCCUUUUCUAUUGUUGUUUCUCCAAAUAGUAUCUACAUCCCACUAUAUUAUAUGUGUUGUGAAUGUACGGCUGUUAAAUAUGUUUGUUUGCUUAUGCUGGUAUGUUAUGUGAUCAUUGUAAAAAUCAUGAUGCAUGGAAAUUUGGAGCAGUUAAUCCCAAUAGCGAGACAUGAGUUAUGCUCGAGGUAAUUGACCUUUGCACAAUAAGAUAUAUGGGCUCUUUUGAAUGCAGCAUUUUAGCUGAACUGAUGGAGAUGUUAGUAUUCUACUUUUGUUCAUAGAUUUCAACAGAUUUUCCAUGCAAAAAAAAUAAUGUAUCAAGGCUAGUUUUGUCAUGUAUUUCUUGGUGAAUGUGUAGCAAGCUCUUAGUGUGCUCAUUUUCUCCUCUGCUAAAAAUAAUUUUCCCAAUGAAAUAAGUACAUGCUUAAUGAUUUGUGUUCUGUGUUAAUGAUAGGGGGUAUCAACAAGAACUUAACGCAUGAUGCAGCCAGAUUGGGUCCAUUCUUGAUGGGGUGGAACUGGAGCUUCCAGGGGAUGGUUCUGAUCCAGUUCCAUUAAGGGUGUAUUUUUUUAGAGCUUGGCCUCGUGUGCUUUUGUCCAUGCCUAUGAACAGGCUGCCCUCCAUGCCAUAAGAUUUUUAUAGGGCUUAUAUGGGUUUGUAGUUUGAGAUUAUAAUUAUGACUGUAUGAUGGCUUAUAGGAGCUUCCUUCGUUUUUCCA